AGGGUUUGAAUCAUGGCUCAGAACGAACGCUGGCGGCAGGCUUCAUACAUGCAAGUCGAGCGAUUAAAGCCCCUUCGGGGGUGCAUAAAGCGGCGAACGGGUGAGUAACAGGUGGAUAAUCUACCUCUCGGCGGGGGACAACGGCUGGAAACGGCCGCUAAUACCGCAUACGAUUGCCAAGACUCCGGUCUGGGCAAGGAAAGGCGCCUUCAAGCGCCACCGGGAGAUGAGUCCGCCCCCCAUUAGCUUGUUGGCGGGAUAAUAGCCCACCAAGGCGACGAUGGGUAGCCGGGCUGAGAGGUUGGCCGGCCACACUGGGACUGAGACACGGCCCAGACACCUACGGGUGGCAGCAGUAGGGAAUAUUGGACAAUGGGCGAAAGCCUGAUCCAGCCAUGCCGCGUGGACGACGAAGGCCUUCGGGUCGUAAAGUCCUUUUCUGAGGGAAGAACAUCCCGGAGAGGAAAUGCUCCGGGCCUGACGGUACCUUAGGAAUAAGCAACGGCUAACUCCGUGCCAGCAGCCGCGGUAAUACGGAGGUUGCAAGCGUUGUUCGGAUUUACUGGGCGUAAAGGGAGCGCAGGCGGUCCGGGUCAGUUCCAAAGUGAAAGUCCGGGGCUCAACCUUGGAAGGCUUUGGGAUACUGCCAGACUUGAGUACGUGAGAAGGAGUGCGGAAUUCCUAGGUUGUUAGCGGUUGAAA
rnacentral:rRNA from 1 species